UACAGAGGGGGGCAAGCGUUGUCCGGACUUACUGGGCGUACAGCGCGCGCAGGCGGACCCCGGACGUGCCGUGUGACAAGCCACCGCUCACCGGUGGAGGGCCACGGUACACGACGGGGUCUGGAGGCAGGGGAGAGGGAUGUGGGAAUGCCCGGGUGGAGCGGUGAAAUGCGUAGAGAUCGGGGCGGAACACCAGCGGCGAAGGCGGCAUCCUGGUCCUGUUCUGACGCUGAGGCGCGAGAGCGUGGGGGAGCGAACUGGAUUAGAAAACCCCG
rnacentral:rRNA from 1 species